rnacentral:rRNA from 1 species
UACAGAGGGUGCGAGCGUUGUUCGGAAUUAUUGGGCGUAAAGCGCGUGUAGGCGGGAUGGCAAGUCGGGUGUGAAAGCCCUCAGCUCAACUGAGGAAGUGCGCCCGAAACUACUGUUCUUGAGUGUCGGAGAGGGUGGCGGAAUUCCCGGUGUAGAGGUGAAAUUCGUAGAUAUCGGGAGGAACACCAGUGGCGAAGGCGGCCACCUGGCCGAACACUGACGCUGAGACGCGAAAGCGUGGGGAGCAAACAGG